GAUGAGUUCUCCCUGAGACUAUAAGUCUCCUGAAGGAACGUUAAAGACGAUGACGUUGAUAGGCCGGGUGUGUAAGCGCAGCGAUGCGUUGAGCUAACCGGUACUAAUGAACCGUGAGGCUUAACCUU
rnacentral:rRNA from 1 species